rnacentral:rRNA from 1 species
UACGAAGGGGGCUAGCGUUGUUCGGAAUCACUGGGCGUAAAGGGUGCGUAGGUGGUGAGGUAAGUCUGAUGUGAAAUCUCUGGGCUCAACCCAGAAACUGCAUUGGAUACUAUCUCGCUAGAGGGAGUGGAGGGGGGACUGGAAUACUUGGUGUAGCAGUGAAAUGCGUAGAUAUCAAGUGGAACACCAGUGGCGAAGGCGAGUCCCUGGACACUUCCUGACACUGGAGGCACGAAAGCUAGGGGAGCAAACAGG